UUAUUCAACUACAGGAACA
rnacentral:tRNA from 1 species